GGCGCUAUAGUCUAGUGGUUAAGACGGAGGUUUUAAGAAAUCUAAACGCCUUUGUGCUCGCACAUCGCCGGUUCGAAUCCGGCUGGCGCCA
rnacentral:tRNA from 1 species